CUGAGGUACCUCCUGGUUUCCUGGCAUAAAUAACUACUGUAAUGUUUCUCAAUAGUUUCCAAACAAUUUUCUUCCUGUUUAGUUAACAACCUACAUCCCACCAGGUGGCUGGAGAUUGCGUUCAUUUUUGGUGGUGGACACAAUCAGUUCUCAUCACCUUGAGAGGGAACCAAAUGGAAGUCACGAGAAGGAGCCAAAUGAAAGUUCUACAAGGCUGGGGGAGAGGAAGGGAGAACAGGAGCUUGCACUUGCCACGUAGCCCAGGGGCUCAUUUUAACCUGGGCAGUUUGGAGCACUGCCACAACCAGCUGUCCUCACAGCUGGAGACAGCUCUCCCUUCUCACAGUGGCACCAGAAGAACAAGUAUGAGCUCUGCUCUUGGUUCAAUACGAGCUCCAGUCCACCUUCUGCAUUGGUUCAGAUUAGAUAAUCUCAGCAUGCAAGAGCAGACUGGAUGGCCCCCAUGCUGCCUCUGCUACAGAGACACUGGCUGUUGCAGAUGACUUAGAUCGUCCACGGUGCCUCAGUUAAAUCCAGCAAGGAUUGUGAGUCAGAGCCUCUGUAUUCAUAACAAAUGAGCUCAAACAAAGCGAAACACUGCUUCUCAAAUUAAGCCUAUGCACGCAAGGUGCAAACCAGAGCUGAGCAGGGGCUCAUGGCUUCCAAGAACAAGCCAAGCUCAGCAGCCGUGGCAGGAAGUCUGUGAGAGCCACACCGCAGCAGAUCCACUGCCAGGAGAAACCAAGCUGUGGAACCAUUGUCCAGUGUCAUCUAAUCCAUGGAAGGACCUGGAGGAUCAUCCUGCCCUGACACUGAGACAUGCAAAUGAACUGGAGCUCUUCUGGGAAUGUCUGGCAGGCUCUGCAAUGAAGCAGGUUCCUGGCUCUGGUGGGCUAGUUCUGGAGCCUCGUGGUACUCAGUUGGCUGCACAAUGCACAGACAUUACUGCAACCAAAACAGCAUCAGUGCUCUUUCCCAGUAGUGGUUUUGUUUUUUGUUUUUCAUUUUUUCCAAAGUUGGAAAUGAAGAAAAAUGUUUCACAAAGGAGCAGAUAUUCCUCAGUCUUAACCUUUAGCAGUUAUUUUCAUUUGUAUACAGUAAAUAAUUAAAAAAAAAAAAUGGAUUUGGCAGCAUUUCACUUAUUUUGGAAAAUUACUUUAUUCAUAUUAGGAAAAUUCUUGGGGGAAAAUAUUCAAUGUUGGCUUAAAGACUAAAUGUGGAAAGGAGUGUUUCCCCAAAAAAUGAUUUUAAAAAUCACCUGAAGGUCUCUUUUCAAAGUCAGAUUUAAAUAGAAAUUCCCUAGGCUCAAAUCCCCCAGCUCAGCCAUGAUUUCUUGUAAUGCAAAAGUUCUGGGUGGCUCCAAACAAGCAACAUGGAAGCUGGAGUCCUAUUGACCCCUGCUUUCAAUAGCUCCCACAUCAAAGCCAGAGCUGCAGAUCCUAG
rnacentral:lncRNA from 1 species